rnacentral:lncRNA from 1 species
GCCCAAGGUGCUGCCUCUCUUCCCUGCUCGACUCCUACUCAUUGCUCCACCCACAAGCUCCGUUCUGCUAAUUGCAUUGCUGGUGCUGCUGCUGGAACACGGCGUUCUUCAGGGAGGAACCAAGAAGCAGCAUGAGGACCUUACACACAGUAAGCCAUCAGUGAAUGGACACAUCAGGGGUGCUGUUUGUGGUGUAAAGGAUUUGUAAAGUGAAGAUUUAUCCCUCAACUUUACAUGCUGACUUUGCUUAAAACAAGAUUCAACUGUAAGGGGAAAUGAGUGAGCAGGAGAAGAUUUAACUGAAGAGGUGACACUUGAGCUGGACCUUGAAAUUGGAAUUCUCCUAGCAGAUGGGACUGGUCCCACCACUGAUGUAUCUUCCGAAGAUGCAUGUCUGGGGCUUGAGUGGGGGAGCAGCGCGGUGGCUGGAGACGAGGGACGCAUCACUCCUCAUCACGGAAUGAGAGGCAUUACGGGCCAAAGAAGAGAGCUCUGAGGUUGUACAAGCCUGGAUUUGUUUGCCAGUUCUGACACUAAUUAGCUGUGUGACUCUGGGUGGUUUAUUAACUCAUCUGAGCCUCAGUUUCCACAUCUGUAAACAUGAGGUGACGGUAUCUCUUGUACUUGGUUGUUGAGAUUAUUCAGUGAGAUACCAUGUGUGAAAGCACCUAGCAUGGUAUGUGGCUUUGACUAGGAGCUCAAUGAAUACCACCUCCCUUACUUCACUUCCUGGAACUCUGGUCUUUAUUCCAUCUAAGGCCUUCUUGGCAGCCACCCAGCAGGCAUGCUGGUGGGCAUCUUAUUGGAUGGAAAGUCUUGG